AGCUCCGUCGAGCUCCAGCCGUCCCCGCCAACCUGAGAGGCCUUCCCCAGACCUUGACCACCGCCGACGUGAGAGGCCAUCGCCAGACCUUGAUCACCACCGCCGACCUGAGAGGCCAUCGCCAGACCUUGACCACCACCGCCGACCUGAGAGGCCAUCACCAGACCGUGAUUACCCCCGCCGAUCUGAGAGGUUGUCUCCAGACCGUCGAUCGCGUGACCCUGAACUUCCUCGCCCUUCUUCCAAGAAAAAGUAUGAAGAUUAUGACGAUCAUCACCAUGAGGACCGCCAUCAGCGCGAGCAUACCCAUCGCAGUAGCAGUAGCCAUCACCGUUCAGAAUCUUCAGCUAGCGCCAAACCAUCCUCCAUAGGCCCAUCUGAACCGCAAUCCAAAUCCGUUGAUAAGAGGAAGGCGAGUGUUUUUUCUCGUAUCAGUUUCCCAGCUGAAGAUUCAGCAGCAGCUUCAAAGAAGCGAAAGGUGCCAUCCUCGAGUGAAGUGCCAGUGAGUUCUUCGGCGAGCCACAGGGGUGGCACAACAAAUGGGUAUCAUGGAGAGUACAAAAGACCACCGCCGCCGACCUGAGAGGCCAUCGCCAGACCUUGACCACCACCGCCGACCUGAGAGGCCAUCACCAGACCGUGAUUACCCCCGCCGAUCUGAGAGGUUGUCUCCAGACCGUCGAUCGCGUGACCCUGAACUUCCUCGCCCUUCUUCCAAGAAAAAGUAUGAAGAUUAUGACGAUCAUCACCAUGAGGACCGCCAUCAGCGCGAGCAUACCCAUCGCAGUAGCAGUAGCCAUCACCGUUCAGAAUCUUCAGCUAGCGCCAAACCAUCCUCCAUAGGCCCAUCUGAACCGCAAUCCAAAUCCGUUGAUAAGAGGAAGGCGAGUGUUUUUUCUCGUAUCAGUUUCCCAGCUGAAGAUUCAGCAGCAGCUUCAAAGAAGCGAAAGGUGCCAUCCUCGAGUGAAGUGCCAGUGAGUUCUUCGGCGAGCCACAGGGGUGGCACAACAAAUGGGUAUCAUGGAGAGUACAAAACGACUACUGGAUCAAGGAAGAGUACCACUGCGAGUGUGGAUUAUGAGAGCAGUGAUGAUGAUCGGCACUUCAAAAGGAAGCCUUCAAGGUACGAACCAUCUCCUCCACCAGCUUUUGUAGGGUGGGAAGAAGAGGAGCGGGAGGGGCCUCCUCCUAGGCAUAGCAAGGGGUCAAGGGGAAGGGGGUAAUCUGCAUAUAAGUUAUAUUUGCAUUUUUCACUUUAAUAUGUCAAUUAUUUGCAUUUCACUUGUAGGACUAUACUGGGGUAUGUUGUUGUUAUUGACUUUCUAAUGUGUCAGUUGACCAUUUUCUUGGGUUCUUUCCAGCUAUUCUGUUUGUAGAUUUUGACGUAAUACUGUCUGCAAUAUUUAGAGUUGAACGUACGUACAUUGCAUUGAUUCUUUUUUUUGUUUCUCAUUUCUUUGUCGUGUCCUGUAAUAGAGUUGAUUGUUCAUUUGUGCAUUAUGUAUUAGUUUUACUGUCUUGGCAAAAAAAUGUGUUACUGGCUUAACUGUCUUAAAUGUAGCUUUACUUAUCUAGGUUUGUUUAUCUAAGGAACACAGCAAAAUAGCCCAUAACAAAAGCAAAGGCGUUUACUUGUGAGAAUCUGGAGAUAAAUAGUGUGCACGUCGAUGAC
rnacentral:lncRNA from 1 species